CAGUAGCCGCGGUAAUACGUAGGGUGCAAGCGUUAAUCGGAAUUACUGGGCGUAAAGCGUGCGCAGGCGGUUAUAUAAGACAGAUGUGAAAUCCCCUGGCUCAACCUGGGAACUGCAUUUGUGACUGUAUAGCUAGAGUACGGCAGAGGGGGAUGGAAUUCCGCGUGUAGCAGUGAAAUGCGUAGAUAUGCGGAGGAACACCGAUGGCGAAGGCAAUCCCCUGGGCCUGUACUGACGCUCAUGCACGAAAGCGUGGGGAGCAAACAGGAUUAGAGACCCCUGUAGUCCCUGUCUCUUAUAA
rnacentral:rRNA from 1 species